AGUAGAACGCUGAAGGAGGAGCUUGCUCUUUCCGGAUGAGUUGCGAACGGGUGAGUAACGCGUAGGUAACCUGCCUGGUAGCGGGGGAUAACUAUUGGAAACGAUAGCUAAUACCGCAUAACAGUAGAUAUCGCAUGAUAGCUGCUUGAAAGGUGCAAAUGCACCACUACCAGAUGGACCUGCGUUGUAUUAGCUAGUUGGUGAGGUAACGGCUCACCAAGGCAACGAUACAUAGCCGACCUGAGAGGGUGAUCGGCCACACUGGGACUGAGACACGGCCCAGACUCCUACGGGAGGCAGCAGUAGGGAAUCUUCGGCAAUGGACGGAAGUCUGACCGAGCAACGCCGCGUGAGUGAAGGAGGUUUUCGGAUCGUAAAGCUCUGUUGUAAGAGAAGAACGAGUGUGAGAGUGGAAAGUUCACACUGUGACGGUAUCUUACCAGAAAGGGACGGCUAACUACGUGCCAGCAGCCGCGGUAAUACGUAGGUCCCGAGCGUUGUCCGGAUUUAUUGGGCGUAAAGCGAGCGCAGGCGGUUAGAUAAGUCUGAAGUUAAAGGCUGUGGCUUAACCAUAGUACGCUUUGGAAACUGUUUAACUUGAGUGCAAGAGGGGAGAGUGGAAUUCCAUGUGUAGCGGUGAAAUGCGUAGAUAUAUGGAGGACACCGGUGGCGAAAGCGGCUCUCUGGCUUGUAACUGACGCUGAGGC
rnacentral:rRNA from 1 species